rnacentral:rRNA from 1 species
CCUACGGGAGGCAGCAGUGGGGGAUAUUGCACAAUGGGGGAAACCCUGAUGCAGCGACGCCGCGUGGACGAAGAAGUAUUUCGGUAUGGAAAGCCCUAUCAGCAGGGAAGAAGAAAUGACGGUACCUGAGUAAGAAGCACCGGCUACAUACGUGCCAGCAGCCGCGGUAAUACGUAGGGUGCAAGCGUUAUCCGGAUUUACUGGGUGUAAAGGGAGCGCAGGCGGCACGGCAAGCCUGAUGUGAAAGCCCGCGGCCCAACCGCGGGACUGCAUUGGGAACUACCGGGCUGGAGUGCAGGAGAGGUAGGCGGAAUUCCUAGUGUAGCGGUGAAAUGCGUAGAUAUUAGGAGGAACACCAGUGGCGAAGGCGGCUUACUGGACGGUGACUGACGCUGAGGCUCGAAAGCGUGGGGAGCAAACAGGAUUAGAUACCCGAGUAGUC